GUAGGUGGCAAGCGUUGUCCGGAAUUAUUGGGCGUAAAGCGCGCGCAGGCGGUCCUUUGAGUCUGAUGUGAAAGCCCACGGCUCAACCGUGGAGGGUCAUUGGAAACUGGGGGACUUGAGUACAGAAGAGGAAAGCGGAAUUCCAAGUGUAGCGGUGAAAUGCGUAGAGAUUUGGAGGAACACCAGUGGCGAAGGCGGCUUUCUGGUCUGUAACUGACGCUGAGGCGCGAAAGCGUGGGGAGCAAACAGGGAUUAGAUACCCUGGUAGUCCACGCCGUAAACGAUGAGUGCUAAGUGUUAGGGGGUUUCCGCCCCCUUAGUGCUGCAGCUAACGCAUUAAGCACUCCGCCUGGGGAGUACGGCCGCAAGGCUG
rnacentral:rRNA from 1 species